GACGAACGCUGGCGGCGUGCUUAACACAUGCAAGUCGAACGGAAAGGCCCUGCUUUUGUGGGGUGCUCGAGUGGCGAACGGGUGAGUAACACGUGAGUAACCUGCCCUUGACUUUGGGAUAACUUCAGGAAACUGGGGCUAAUACCGGAUAGGAGCUCCUGCUGCAUGGUGGGGGUUGGAAAGUUUCGGCGGUUGGGGAUGGACUCGCGGCUUAUCAGCUUGUUGGUGGGGUAGUGGCUUACCAAGGCUUUGACGGGUAGCCGGCCUGAGAGGGUGACCGGACACAUUGGGACUGAGAUACGGCCCAGCCUACUACGGGAGGCAGCAGUGGGGAAUAUUGCACAAUGGGCGGAAGCCUGAUGCAGCAAAGCCGCGUGCGGGAUGACGGCAUUCGGGUUGUAAACCGAUUUCGCCUGUGACGAAGCGUGAGUGACGGUAAUGGGUAAAGAAGCACCGGCUAACUACGUG
rnacentral:rRNA from 1 species